rnacentral:rRNA from 1 species
UACGUAGGGGGCUAGCGUUGUCCGGAAUCAUUGGGCGUAAAGCGCGCGUAGGCGGCCUCAUAAGUCCGCUGUAAAAGUCAAAGGCUCAACCGUUUGAACGCCGGUGGAUACUGUGAGGCUAGAGUCCGGAAGAGGGCGAGUGGAACUCCUGGUGUAGCGUGGAAUGCGCAGAUAUCAGGAAGAACACCAACGGCGAAGGCAGCCUGCGCUGGGACGGUACUGACGCUGAGGCGCGAAAGCGUGGGGAGCAAACAGG